AUGCUUAAAUGUUUCAUCAUAAAAACACCACAGAAUGGCAUGCAUUCCAGCUAACCACAGGCGUCAUGUGGCGGCUAAAGAGGAUCACACACUUCAGAUUCUCUGAAUGUCAUCCAGUGUUGUUUCAUCGCACGAGUGAAGGUGCAUUGCUGACUUGUUUCAGUUGCUGAGAGACAGAGACUUACCGGAAAGGGGAGGAGGAUUGUAAUAAUUUAUGAGUGCCAGACAGAUAUGUGGAUGUUUGGCCACACCUGGUAUGCUUGCCAUGUGGCCAACGGGAAGUACUGAACAAUGAUGCUUGCACAAAGCAUUUCAUAAGGCUAAGUAAACCUGAACCCUGGAUUUAUGUCACUGAAUACUGACUACGUGUCCGGAGGUCUUUCUGCAUGAUCAAGGCUAUCUACGCUCUGAGGAUUUCAUUUCCCAUCUACCGUCUUCGUUUGGAUUCGCAUCUAGCUGGCAGUUUCCUGCUACCUUCGCCUCCUGGACCAAGCCGUAAUCGUACCCUGUCCACCCUCCAGCAUAAGCAUCUGCACACUGAACUCCUUCCUGUUUGCUCUGAGAUCACACUGAACAGCACCUAAAGAACCUUCUACAAACCUGGAUCCUGAAUGCCUGUUUCCCUGGCGACCUGACCACACCUAUUUAUUGGAGAAUCAUCCGUUACGUUCCUGAUUAUCUUUGUCACAAUAAAC